AGGGUUUGAUCCUGGCUCAGGGUGAACGCUGGCGGCGUGGAUUAGGCAUGCAAGUCGAGCGAUCCUUGCUAUUGAUGUAGAUUGAGAUCUUCGGAUCAAUGUCUGCUGAUAUAGCGCUGGAUAGCGGCAAACGGGUGAGUAACACGUGGAUAACGUACCUUGAGGAAGGGCAUAGCCUAUCGAAAGGUGGGGUAAUUUCCUGUGGUCCUUUUAGCCUGGAAUGGCUAGAAGGUAAAGAUGGCCUCUACUUGUAAGCUAUCACCUUAAGAACGGUCCGCGUUCUAUCAGGUAGUUGGUAGGGUAAGAGCCUACCAAGCCUAAGACGGAUAGCUGGCUUGAGAGAGUGGUCAGCCACAUCGGGACUGAGACACUGCCCGGACUUCUACGGAAGGCUGCAGUCGAGAAUCUUUCUCAAUGGGCGAAAGCCUGAAGAUGCGACGUCGCGUGGAGGAUGAAGGUUUUCGGAUUGUAAACUCCUUUUAUCAGGGAGGAACAUUUAAAGGUGAAUAAUCUUUAAAUUUGACUGUACCUGUUGAAUAAGCCACGGCUAACUCCGUGCCAGCAGCCGCGGUAAUACGGGGGUGGCGAGCGUUACUCGGUUUGACUGGGUGUAAAGGGUCUGCAGGCGGUUUAUUAAGUGAAAGGUGAAAUCCUUCGGCUUAACCGGAGAAUUGCCUUUUAAACUAUUAAACUCGAGGAUGGGAGAAGAGAGCGGAACUGUCAGUGUAAGGGUGAAAUCUGUGGAUAUUGACAGGAACGCCAGUGGAGUAGUCGGCUCUCUAGUCCAUUCCUGACGCUCAUAGACGAAAGCUAGGGUAGCGAACAGGAUUAGAUACCCUGGUAGUCCUAGCUGUAAACGAUGGGCACUAGGUGCUUGCUUUUUUGUGGGUGCCGCAGCUAACGCGUUAAGUGCCCCACCUGGGGACUACGGCCGCAAGGCUAAAACUCAAAGGAAUUGACGGGGGCCCGCACAAGCGGUGGAACGCGUGGUUUAAUUCGAUGCUACGCGAGGAACCUUACCAGGGCUUGACAUGCUAGAAGUAGUAUCCCGAAAGGGAGUCCGACUGGUAUCCAAUCCAGAACUAGCACAGGUGCUGCAUGGUUGUCGUCAGCUCGUGCCGUGAGGUGUUCCCUUAAGUGGGAAAACGAGCGCAACCCUCGCCUUUUGUUGCCACUCAUAGUCUUUGAUUAUGAAGCACUCUAAAGGGACUGCCCGCGUUAAGUGGGAGGAAGGUGGGGACGACGUCAAGUCAGCAUGGCCCUUACGUCCUGGGCUACAUACGUGUUACAAUGCCUGAUACAAUGGGACGCUAAGCCGUGAGGUGGAGCAAAUCCCAUAAAAUCAGGCUCAGUUCGGAUCGAAGGCUGCAACUCGCCUUCGUGAAGCUGGAAUCGCUAGUAAUGGCGCACCAGCAACGGCGCCGUGAAUACGUUCCCGGGCCUUGUACACACCGCCCGUCAAGCGCUGAAAGUGGGGGGCGCCCAAAGACUAGUUUUAUACUGGUUUACGGUGAAUUUCAUGAUUGGCGCUAAGUCGAAACAAGGUA
rnacentral:rRNA from 1 species